CUAUCAGGAUACCACUUCGGUCUGAACGGCAUGCCCGUUCGGUGAAAAGGGAACACGGUGCGGUGUCGCCAUCAGACACCAAUUCCGCGACUGCCCCCGCAACUGUAAGCGGAUAGCGAAGCCGGAUCAAAGUCACUGCCGCACAUGAACGCGGUGGGAAGGCCCGGCCAAGCAAUGACCCGCAAGUCAGGAGACCUGCCGAGGUGAUCACCCUGUC
rnacentral:ncRNA from 1 species